rnacentral:rRNA from 1 species
AUUGAACGCUGGCGGCAUGCUUUACACAUGCAAGUCGAACGGUAACAGGUUAAGCUGACGAGUGGCGAACGGGUGAGUAAUGCACCGGAACGUGCCCGAUCGUGGGGGAUAACGCAGCGAAAGCUGCGCUAAUACCGCAUACGAUCUGAGGAUGAAAGCGGGGGACCGUAAGGCCUCGCGCGAUCGGAGCGGCCGAUGUCAGAUUAGGUAGUUGGUGGGGUAAAGGCCCACCAAGCCGACGAUCUGUAGCUGGUCUGAGAGGACGACCAGCCACACUGGGACUGAGACACGGCCCAGACUCCUACGGGAGGCAGCAGUGGGGAAUUUUGGACAAUGGGCGAAAGCCUGAUCCAGCAAUGCCGCGUGCAGGAAGAAGGCCUUCGGGUUGUAAACUGCUUUUGUACGGAGCGAAAAGGUCCUUUCUAAUACAAGGGGCUCAUGACGGUACCGUAAGAAUAAGCACCGGCUAACUACGUGCCAGCCGCCGCUGUAA